UUUUUUUUUUUUUUUUUUAACCUCUCAAAAGCUAUUGAACGUACCCAAUGUUUCCUCAUUGCCUCUCUGUACUCUGCCUUGUCCUUGUUUUAGGUGUGAUUGGAAAAGACCCAGAAAGGGAGGGAAGGCCCUUGCCAGACGCCAGUGCUGCCCCAGCUCGCCUGGGCCCUCGCAGGCCCAUUGGCCAUCUUCCCAGGAGGGGUGUGCCGGGGGCCGCCUGCUCCCUGCUCUGCUCCCAACCGCCUGUGUUUGCUGAGAGCAGCCUGGGCCCGGUGAAAGCAGCCUUUGUCCUCCAGUCCAUUCCUCCCAGAUGGGUGACCUAAGUCCCAGCUUGGGAACAAAGCGGCGCCCUGCCAUGUGAGUGCAGGUCAGCCCCAGUGGCCUGCAGAGUCUCCCAGACUAGGCUGGCAGGGGCAGUGGGGGUGGCCUUGGCUACGGGGCUGCAGAGUUAAGUGGGGUCCAGAAGGCAACAGAGCCCUCCUGGGUCCUCAGUGGUGAUGCCAGGGGCUCCUCUGAGCACAGGAUUUUACAGUUCAUGGAGUUCUUCCAUGCUUUCUGGGUUGGUGGAGCCUUGGAGAGGCAGGUAACAGUUGUCACAGGGAAGCACCUCAAAGCAUAGGGGUACAAGUCAACCCCUAUUUACUGGACUCAUAAUAUUUGCUGGGUCAGGAAACUGGGCAGGGCUCUGUGGGGACAGCUGCUCCGUGAUAUGUGGGGUGUCAGCUGGGAGCCCUAAGCAGCUGGGGCUGGAGGCUUCUUCACACACUUGUCUGGUGCCUCUGACAACCUGGAGGCCCAGCUUUCUGGGGCUGCUGUCCAGGCACCUGCUGUAGCUUGGGCUUCCUCACAGCGUGGUGGCUCAGGGCUCCCAGUGCUAAGAGGACAGAUUCUGCAUCACCCUUUAUGAUGGAUGCAGCAUCAGGCAUCUGCUGCUAUUCUCUGUUGAUGGAAGCAUCACAGGCCCCCCGAGAUUCAGAGGGAGAGGACAUGGACCCCACCUCUCAAUGAGAGGAGUGUCAAAGAAUCCAUGUUUCAAAGCUGCCACGGCCAGAAUAAAUGUCUCUUGCACUGAACGUGUGGAUGAGUACGUAAAAGUAGACUUCUGGAAGAUAGAGCCUGUAUCUUGUUCGUUUGCCUCUUUCCUCGGGUGCUCAUACAGGGCCAGGCAUACAGAAGAUGCCUAGCAAAUGCUUCCUGUUCUGCCCCAACCUUUGUGGGGGCGUCCGUCCACUCCUGAGAAUGGGCUGAGAGGGGAAGGCGGGUGGACCUCACCCUUCUCUAUCAGCCGCCUCCCAGCCCCGGGCCUUGCGGCAGGCUUCCUGUUGUUCCCCUCCUCACAGGUGGACAGGAAGUCCCCGGAGGCCUGUCGGAGGGCUGCUUCCCAUAUUUUCUUCAUGCCGGGCUGGCCCUGGUGGGACCCAGGCGCCACAGUGUGCCCUAGCGCCGGCUGGCUGAAGAGCCGUGCCCCCCAGGGACCAGGCUUCCUGACCACAUUAGCAGUUCUAUUUUGGAGCCUACCAGGCCGUUUGUGCACAAGGCAGGUGAAGCCUGGAAGAAUGUUCUAUGUGGAGCCAUCCCUGAAAACCCCCUUGUUCUGAUGCCGGCCAGGCCUGUAAAGCUCCUCACAGCUGAGCAGCAGGAACAGAGCCAAGAGUCAAGGCUUUGGGGUCUGAGAGAGCAGGGUUCAAAUCUACUUCUAUGGUUUUAAGCUGAGCCUUGGUUUUCUCAUCUGUAAAAUGGGUGUUAUAGGACCACCCCCACUCCCCGCACAGGGAUCCUUUUCUCCAAUCUUGGCUACAUAUCUGUUGCUCUUUCAGAUUCUCCUUGCUGAAACUGCGCACUCCCAGAGUUAGGAUUUCAGUAGAUUCCCAGCAAAUGUGUUUAAAGAACUGUCGCCCCAGUUGAUUCCAAGGGGUGGCAUCUCAGGCUGGUUCUGGAGACAAGGAUCCACGUGUUGUGACUUAAGGACAGAGAGCUUGGGUCGGCCCGAUCCCUGGAGGAGUUCUGAGAGUCAGUAGCACCAUGGAAUAAGCCCACCUUGGAGAAACAGGGCAGCCAUUCCUCCAAUGGCCAAGGUCUGCUGUUGGAGAAGCGGGGGCUGUGAGCUAUGGCAGCCAGCACCCCUGGCCCCAGGUCGGGGGGGCCCAGCUAGGACCAGGGGUCUGGGUGCAGCAUUUUCCAUGGUUGGUCAGUCGGCCUGAGAGAGUUCUUGACUCAAGGCAGUGAGACAGUGGGUGUAGACUGGGCAGCAUGAAGAAGUCUAUGUGCAAUAGUGACUUGGGGAAGUUCCCUGGUGGCCUGGUAGUUAAGAAUCCAGCAUUGUCACUGCUGUGGCAUGGGUUCAGUCCCUGGCCUAGGAACUUCUAUAUGUCAUGCGUGCAGAAAAAAAAAAAAAAAAAAAA
rnacentral:lncRNA from 1 species